ACUAUAUUAGCAUAUACAAUGUCUUAAGCUUAGAACUUAAUCAAGUAGAUCACCAACACUACAUUUAGUA
rnacentral:tRNA from 1 species